ACACUUACCUGGCAGGGAAGAUACCAUGAUCGUGAGUGUGGUCUUCCCAGGGUGAGGCUUAUCUAUUGUACUCCAGAUGUGCUGACCCCUGAAAUUUUCUCAAAUGUGGGAAACUCGACUGCAUAAUUAGUGGUAGUGGGGGAGUGCAUUCACACUCUCCCCUU